rnacentral:misc_RNA from 1 species
AGAGAAGGGAGGCAGCUCUGGAAAAUGAUUUAGCAAAUAUGUGGGUACUCGUUUCUCAGCUAAGGAAAAAGAAUGGCGCCACGCAAGAUGUAAAGACAGUAACAGAAAGGCAGAAUUUUGGAAGACGCAAUAUGAAUGAUCCAGAAAUGUUUGAUAGUGAGUACAAUGACCCCAUCCUCGAUGAUGAACAGACCGUGGAUCAUGCAA